CUGUGAUGUUUCAUUUGCCAGGAAUUUUGGGUACACAUUCUUGCAACAUGGGGUCCUGCAUUAUGCUGUAAGAUGAGCCCAUAUCAUAACCCCACCACUACUACGGACCACGCCUUCCACAAUGCUGACAUCAACAAACUGCUCACGGACGCCAUACAUGAUAAAGAAAACAUUUCUCCAAAGUGCCAGAAGCCAUUGAAGGACACGUCCAGCUGUGAUGGAUUUGACAUUAAUGGGAAAUGAAGCUGGGGAGAUGCGACGCCCCAGUCCAAUAGUGG